rnacentral:rRNA from 1 species
AGCUCCAAUAGCGUAUAUUUAAGUUGUUGCAGUUAAAAAGCUCGUAGUUGGAUUUCGGGUGGGUACCGCCGGUCUCCCUUUGGGUAUGUACUGGCGUGGCCCGCCUUGCUGUCGGGGACGAUCUCCUGGGCUUUACUGUCCGGGAAUCGGAGUCGACGAUGUUACUUUGAGUAAAUUAGAGUGUUCAAAGCAAGCCUACGCUCUGAAUAUAAUAGCAUGGGAUAACACGACAGGACUCUGGCCUAUCGUGUUGGUCUGUAGGACCGGAGUAAUGAUUAAGAGGGACAGUCGGGGGCAUUCGUAUUCCAUUGUCAGAGGUGAAAUUCUUGGAUUUAUGGAAGACGAACAUCUGCGAAAGCAUUUGUCAAGGAUGUUUUCAUUGAUCAAGAAC